rnacentral:rRNA from 1 species
UGGGGAAUAUUGCACAAUGGGCGAAAGCCUGAUGCAGCAACGCCGCGUGAGUGAUGAAGGCCUUCGGGUUGUAAAGCUCUGUCUUUUGGGACGAUAAUGACGGUACCAAAGGAGGAAGCCACGGCUAACUACGUGCCAGCAGCCGCGGUAAUACGUAGGUGGCAAGCGUUGUCCGGAUUUACUGGGCGUAAAGGAUGCGUAGGCGGAUUUUUAAGUGAGAUGUGAAAACCCUAAGCUUAACUUGGGGACUGCAUUUCAUACUGGAGAUCUAGAGUGCGGGAGAGGAGAAUGGAAUUCCUAGUGUAGCGGUGAAAUGCGUAGAGAUUAGGAAGAACACCAGUGGCGAAGGCGAUUCUCUGGACCGUAACUGACGCUGAGGCAUGAAAGCGUGGGUAGCAAACAGGAUUAGAUACCCUGGUAGUCCACGCCGUAAACGAUGAGUACUAGGUGUAGGAGGUAUCGACCCCUUCUGUGCCGCAGUUAACACAAUAAGUACUCCGCCUGGGAAGUACGAUCGCAAGAUUAAAACUCAAAGGAAUUGACGGGGUC